rnacentral:snoRNA from 1 species
AAUAAAGUGAUGACAACAAAUUGCUAAAUUUUUCAUGUUGAAAAUUGAACUCUCUCACUGAUAUU